GGGGGUGACUAGGGACAGAGGGGGUGACCAGUGACAGAGUGAGGAAGUGGGUGACACAGUGACAGAGUUAGGGAGGGAGUGACUAGUGACAGAGAGAGGGAUGGGGUGACUAGUGACAGUCACCCCCUCCCUCACUCUGUCACUAGUCACUACCUCCCUCCAUCACUAGUCACUCCCUCCCUCUGUCACUAGUCACUCCCUCCCUCUGUCACCAGUCAUCCCCUCACUCUGUCACCAGUCAUCCCCUCACUCUGUCACUAGUCACCUCUAGUGA